rnacentral:rRNA from 1 species
AUGCGGAAGGAUCAUUAUUGAAUUUUAUUAUUGAGGAGUUGAGUUGUUGCUGCCCUUUUCUACCUUAAUUUGGCGGGAGGGGCAUGUGCACCCUUUUUCUUUCAUCCAUCACACCCCCUGUGCACUUGUGAGACAGCAAUAGUUGGUGGAUUUAAUUCCUUCAUCCAUUUGCGGUCUACUUAAUUUACACCCACUCUACUUAAUUUAAACUGAAGGUAAUUGAUGUAACGCAUUUAUUAUUAAGUUUCAACAAGGGAUUUCUUGGCCCUCGAAUCGUUGAAGAACGAAGCGAAUUGCAAUAAGUAAUGUGAAUUGCAGAAUUCAGUGAAUCAUGGAAUCUUUGAACGCCCCUUGCGUUCCUUGGUAUUCCUUGGAGCAGCCCGGUUUGAGUAUCAUGAAAUUUUCAAAGUAACCCUUUUGUUAAUUCAAUUGGUCUUUUUUACUUUGGUUUUGGAGGAUCUUAUUGCAGCUUCACACCUGCUCCUCUUUGUGCAUUAGCUGGAUCUCAGUGUUAUGCUUGGUUCCACUCGGCGUGAUAAGUUAUCUAUCGCUGAGGACACCCGUAAAAAAGGUGGCCAAGGUAAAUGCAGAUGAACCGCUUCUAAUAGUCCAUUGAUCUUGGACAAUAUUCUAUUUUAUGAUCUGAUCUCAAAUCAAGUAGGACUGCCUGCAGGAAACGGUUUU